GGCCCGCACAAGCGGUGGAGCAUGUGGUUUAAUUCGAUGCAACGCGAAGACCUUACCUGGUCUUGACAUAGUAGAAACUUUCCCAGAGAUGGAUUGGUGCCUUCGGGAAUCUACAUACAGGUGCUGCAUGGCUGUCGUCAGCUCGUGUCGUGAGAUGUUGGGUUAAGUCCCGCAACGAGCGCAACCCUUUUCCUUAUUUGCCAGCACUUCGGGUGGGAACUUUAAGGAUACUGCCAGUGACAAACUGGAGGAAGGCGGGGACGACGUCAAGUCAUCAUGGCCCUUACGACCAGGGCUACACACGUGCUACAAUGGUCGGUACAAAGGUUGCUNACACAGCGAUGUGAUGCUAAUCUCAAAAAGCCGAUCGUAGUCCGGAUUGGAGUCUGCAACUCGACUCCAUGAAGUCGGAAUCGUUAGUAAUCGCGGAUCAGAAUGCCGCG
rnacentral:rRNA from 1 species